rnacentral:rRNA from 1 species
AGACCUUACCUGGGCUCGAAGCGCAGUGGACCGGGGUAGAAAUAUCCCUUCCCCUUAAAAGGCUGCUGCGGAGGUGCUGCAUGGCUGUCGUCAGCUCGUGUCGUGGGAUGUUGGGUUAAGUCCCGCAACGAGCGCAACCCUUAUCCCUAGUUGCCAUCAGGUCAAGCUGGGCACUCUAGUGAAACUGCCUCGGAUAACGAGGAGGAAGGUGGGGAUGACGUCAAGUCCUCAUGGCCUUUAUGUCCAGGGCUACACACGUGCUACAAUGGUCGGUACAAACCGUCGCAAACCCGUGAGGGGGAGCUAAUCGGAAAAAGCCGGCCUCAGUUCGGAUUGGAGUCUGCAACUCGACUCCAUGAAGCUGGAAUCGCUAGUAAUCGCGGAUCAGAACGCCGCGGUGAAUACGUUCCCGGGUCUUGUACACACCG